rnacentral:rRNA from 1 species
AUUGAACGCUGGCGGCAGGCCUAACACGUGCAAGUCGAGCGGAUGAAGGGAGCUUGCUCCUGGAUUCAGCGGCGGACGGGUGAGUAAUGCCUAGGAAUCUGCCUGGUAGUGGGGGAUAACGUCCGGAAACGGGCGCUAAUACCGCAUACGUCCUGAGGGAGAAAGUGGGGGAUCUUCGGACCUCACGCUAUCAGAUGAGCCUAGGUCGGAUUAGCUAGUUGGUGGGGUAAAGGCCUACCAAGGCGACGAUCCGUAACUGGUCUGAGAGGAUGAUCAGUCACACUGGAACUGAGAAACGGUCCAGACUCCUACGGGAGGCAGCAGUGGGGAAUAUGGGACAAUGGGCGUAAGCCUGAUCCAGCCAUGCCGCGUGUGUGAAGAAGGUCUUCGGAUGGUAAAGCACUUUAAGUUGGGAGGAAGGGCAGUAAGUUAAUACCUUGCUGUUUGGACGUGACCAACAGAAUAAGCACCGGCUAACUUCGU